CCCACAGCUACUACACUGAACUACAUCUGAUCAGUCAUAAUUCAACAUAAUUAUCAAUCAUAAACUCAUUAUUGGGGGCCCCUUUAUAUUUUCAUUUCUUUUUUCGUUGUCAUAAUUAUUAAUCAUGAAAGAAGAAAAUAAAAGAAGAAAAAAAAAAUUCUGAUCAGGAGGAGGAGUGGUCAGACCACACCUACAAUUCGUAUGUGACCAUGCCUCUAAUUCAAGGCCACACCCACCUGGUCACACCUUCAUUUGAGCUAUGGACGUAACUACUCCUGAGAAGUUCCAAUGGAUAGUAAAUUCUAACUACCUGGAUUUAACAGAAUCUUCUAUUCACCUGGUCUGGGAUAGUCUCAAUGUACGAUAUCCCAGAUGGUCCCAUGGGCGGAUGGGCAGGGGGCCAGCGAUGCAAUGCCACAUACUCGCGACGGUGCUGGCUGUCACACUGGAGGAGGACUAUCUCUCUAGUGUGCAAGAGCACUGCAAACUGUUUUAUUAACUGAACACAUUUUUGUUU